CAAGAAUCUGACCUGGGUUGUACCACUGGUGCACUUGGUGUUGAGGGAUACUGUAGCAUUGGCUGUCAAGAGGUGGAACUCAGUCUGCGAAAAGCAGGACAGAGCCACUGCCAAAGACCUUGUGAGCCAGUCAGGCUUGGUCUGGCCGUUCCGCUCGACGCUGAUGUCCUUCUGCCCUGCAGCUUCCAGCCUGGCCUGCUCCAGGAGGCCCAGAGUUCGGGGCUGGCUGUUUUGUGGAGACAGGGCCAAUUAAAUUAUUUGGUGGAGCUCAAGCUGCCUGAAGAAGCCUUAUUCUGGGAUUAUAAGAAAGGCAGAGUUGAAGUCUUCAAACAUCUUUUCCACAAAGGCAACUUCUCCAUCCUUAUGAGAUCGGUCCAAGAAUCUGACCUGGGCUUGUACCACUGUGAGCUGUUUGAGGGGAGCAACUGUAGCAUUGGCUGUCAAGAGGUGGAACUCAGUCUGCGAAAAGCAGGCAGUACAUGGCCGGGUGUGAUGGUGAACUACUGGUACUGCGUAGCUGGCGGGGGGGUCUUCCUUUUACUGCUCCUUGGUUGCGCUUGCUGUGUACGGUAUAGAUCCACAGUUCUGGACGCUCCACUAUUGAAUAUAUAGAUAAUGAUUUGUACAGCAACGUGAACUACUAUCAAGGCCAACUUCCCCAGGAAAUCGAAGGUUGCCAUAGUAGCAGUAGCAGUAACAGAAAACAGGAUGAAGGCAAUGGACAGGAAGUGCCAUCCUCUAUCUAUGCCUGCAUAGCUGAAUUUCAGUUUUAAUUUUAUUUACUUUGUGAUACUGCAUUUAUAAAAUGUAUUACAUAUUUAAACUGUAAAAUAACCUCUGAAUUGUGGGGGCUGUGGAAAGAGGGAUGUGCAUUAAUUGUUUUUGGAUUUUCAUAUGUAUUUCUUUGUCAAUAAACAAUAAAAAUAAGUGAAGUACUAUGUUAAACUGGGUCACAUACUUCUUAAUUUCAAUAGUUUCCAUUGUCUCUGCUGUGGUGCAUGGGAUUGCCUCGUUGGUAAUGCAUUGCUGUUUAAUAAAUGUAUACUUGUCUGUG